AUUGAACGCUGGCGGCAGGCCUAACACAUGCAAGUCGAACGGUAACAGGAAGAAGCUUGCUUCUUUGCUGACGAGUGGCGGACGGGUGAGUAAUGUCUGGGAAACUGCCUGAUGGAGGGGGAUAACUACUGGAAACGGUAGCUAAUACCGCAUAACUUCGCAAGACCAAAGAGGGGGACCUUCGGGCCUCUUGCCAUCGUAUGUGCCCAGAUGGGAUUAGCUAGUAGGUGGGGUAACGGCUCACCUAGGCGACGAUCCCUAGCUGGUCUGAGAGGAUGACCAGCCACACUGGAACUGAGACACGGUCCAGACUCCUACGGGAGGCAGCAGUGGGGAAUAUUGCACAAUGGGCGGAAGCCUGAUGCAGCCAUGCCGCGUGUAUGAAGAAGGCCUUCGGGUUGUAAAGUACUUUCAGCGGGGAGGAAGGGAGUAAAGUUAAUACCUUUGCUCAUUGACGUUACCCGCAGAAGAAGCACCGGCUAACUCCGUG
rnacentral:rRNA from 1 species